rnacentral:rRNA from 1 species
CCCAACCGUGGGGCAUUUUGUUUUAAUCGAAACAACGCGGAGAAACCUUCCCAGUUCUUAACUCCUCUGACAAACCCAAAGAUAGGGCCUUCCCCUUGGGGGGAGAGUGACAGGUGGUGCAUGGUUGUCGUCAGCUCGUGUCGUGAGAUGUUUGGUUUAAUCCCGCAACGAGCGCAACCCUUGAUUUUAGUUGCCCGCAUUCAAUUGGGCACUCUAAGGUGACCUCCGGUGACAAACCGGAGGAAGGUGGGGAUGACGUCAAAUCAUCAUGCCCCUUAUGACCUGGGCCACACCCCUGCUACAAUGGACAGAACAAAAGGCAGCGAAACCCCGAGGUUUAACCAAUUCCACAAAUCUGUUUUCAGUUCGGAUUGCAGUCUGCAACUUGACUGCGUGAAGCCGGAAUCGCUUGUAAUCGCGGAUCAACAUGCCGCGGUGAAAACGUUCCCCGGCCUUGUACACCCCCCCCCUCCCACCCCGAGAGUUUGUAACCCCCGAAAUCGGUGAAGU